GUAAUAGUCAUGCACCUUCCUGAGCAUCUUCUCCUCACAGCCCUUGUAGGAGUCAUCAACAGAGUCUGGAGCCAUGUCUAAGGGGAAGUUGGAUAUUGGAUCAUGCAGAGGGAGACUGACCUUUAGUGAUUUGAGAGAGAAAUAGAGAAACAGGUGUGCCUGUCUGGUGAACCCAGAGAAGAGGGUUGGGAAUUACUGCACCUUGUAGGCAACCGUGGUCCUGGAGGGGCGCAGGCACUUCAUGUUUUUAAUUUAACCAACCUGGAAGAACAGUUGUGUUGAAUUUAGGCAAUCACAGAACUGAUCCCCACCGUUUGAGACUGGAUUUGAAUAACCCUAGUCUGAGCUUUCUCUGUCAAUCAUGCCUUUAGCUGGUUAAGUGAAAUGCUUCCCUCUUCUGGUAACUGUGAACAAUGCUCCAUGUCUCUGCAGCCUACCUAAAGUGAAGGAUCUGUCAACCAUCUAUUUAAAACAUUUGUUCCCCCAGAAUCCAACUUCUAAAUAAGUAUGUGGCCAGUUUACAGGUGUGAGACAGUCAUAUGAAUAUGAAAACCCCUUUAUCAGAUCAAUUAAUAAAAGGUCAAUGACUAAAAUA